AAAUUUGAAAUCUGGCGCAAGCCCGAGUUGUAAUUUGGAGAGGAUGCUUCUGGGUAGCGGCCGGUCUAAGUCCCUUGGAACAGGGCGUCACAGAGGGUGAGAAUCCCGUCCGUGACCGGCCCGCACCCUCCCCGUAGCUCCUUCGACGAGUCGAGUUGUUUGGGAAUGCAGCUCUAAAUGGGAGGUAAAUUUCUCCUAAAGCUAAAUACCGGCCAGAGACCGAUAGCGCACAAGUAGAGUGAUCGAAAGAUGAAAAGCACUUUGGAAAGAGAGUUAAACAGCACGUGAAAUUGUUGAAAGGGAAGCGCCCGCGACCAGACUUUGCGGCGGUGUUCCGCCGGUCUUCUGACCGGUCCACUCGCCGCCGCGAGGCCAUCAUCGUCUGGGGCCGCCGGAUAAGACGGGGGGAAUGUAGCACCCUCCGGGGUGUGUUAUAGCCCCCCGUGAUGCGGCGCGCCUCGGGCGAGGUCCGCGCUUCGGCAAGGAUGAUGGCGUAAUGGUCGUCGGCGGCCCGUCUUGAAACACGGACCAAGGAGUCUAACAUCUAUGCGAGUGUUUGGGUGUCAACCCCGGACGCGCAAUGAAAGUGAACGGAGGUGGGAGCUUCGGCGCACCAUCGACCGAUCCUGAUGUCCUCGGAUGGAUUUGAGUAAGAGCAUAGCUGUUGGGACCCGAAAGAUGGUGAACUAUGCCUGGAUAGGGUGAAGCCAGAGGAAACUCUGG
rnacentral:rRNA from 1 species